AGCGAACGCUGGCGGCAGGCUUAACACAUGCAAGUCGAACGGGCACUUCGGUGCUAGUGGCCGACGGGUGAGUAACACGUGGGAACGUACCUUUCGGUUCGGAAUAAUACAGGGAAACUUGUACUAAUACCGGAUACGCCCUUUGGGGGAAAGAUUUAUCGCCGAUUGAUCGGCCCGCGUCUGAUUAGCUAGUUGGUGAGGUAAUGGCUCACCAAGGCGACGAUCAGUAGCUGGUCUGAGAGGAUGAUCAGCCACACUGGGACUGAGACACGGCCCAGACUCCUACGGGAGGCAGCAGUGGGGAAUAUUGGACAAUGGGCGCAAGCCUGAUCCAGCCAUGCCGCGUGAGUGAUGAAGGCCUUAGGGUUGUAAAGCUCUUUUGUCCGGGAAGAUAAUGACUGUACCGGAAGAAUAAGCCCCGGCUAACUUCGUG
rnacentral:rRNA from 1 species